rnacentral:lncRNA from 1 species
UUUAUUCCUAUGGAACCUUAUCUCAGAUGGGUACGCGCCAGAGCUCGUGAAUUUGUCAUGUCAUAUCUUGCAAUCGGACCUCAGAUUGUCGAACCUGAAGCUGAAGGAGGUGCUCCUCAGAUCAUUCCUUAUCCAGAUAUGCCUACCAAUGUUGAGGAACUGAAAAGAUCCUGGAUCCAGUUGAGAGAAGAAAGGGAUACUUUCGAGACUCAGUUCGUCGCAGAAAGGAAGAAAGUGUUAGAACUUACCAGUCA